rnacentral:rRNA from 1 species
AUGCCUACGAUCUACUCUCUUCAUACUUCUACUGGACGUUGCUGCCAUUGCUUGUCGGAUGUCGAUGAUGACAAUCAUCGACGAGCACUGCAACUACUGCCGGUGGUACGUCCCCCUUGCAAGUCGCGCUACAGAAGAAAACCCCAAUGGACCUCAAUGCAAAUCAUGAAAUGGAGCGGCUUGUGCGACGAGGACAACAUUCUGAAGAACAACUACCUUUCCCUCUUUUUUCCACCAAACUGUAAAGAAAGAAAGGCUAUCCCCUGCUUUGCAAGAAAUGAUUUCUUAAAACACAUCAACAUUAUGAGAUAUGUUUUAACUCAAGUUACAUCUUUGCUUGAGACAAAAGAAGGAUUCGAUUUUGUUGUCGAUGUCACCAAUAAUCAAGAAAAAACAUAUUUCAUCGGCAACUCUUGGAGAGAGUUCUUAUAUGUGUACAACCUGAACCUGGGAUUUCAUAAGGAGAUGGACCUCACUUUGUGUGUUAAAAAUGAUGUCAGUUCUGUAUAUUAUUUUGUUUGUGCGUUUAUUUGCACUGAUGGCGACUUUUGA